ACGAACGCUGGCGGCAUGCCUAACACAUGCAAGUCGAACGAGACCUUCGGGUCUAGUGGCGCACGGGUGCGUAACGCGUGGGAACCUGCCCUUAGGUUCGGAAUAACUCCCCGAAAGGGGUGCUAAUACCGGAUAAUGUCUUCGGACCAAAGAUUUAUCGCCUUUGGAUGGGCCCGCGUUGGAUUAGCUAGUUGGUAGGGUAAAAGCCUACCAAGGCGACGAUCCAUAGCUGGUCUGAGAGGAUGAUCAGCCACACUGGGACUGAGACACGGCCCAGACUCCUACGGGAGGCAGCAGUGGGGAAUAUUGGACAAUGGGCGAAAGCCUGAUCCAGCAAUGCCGCGUGAGUGAUAAAGGCCUUAGGGUUGUAAAGCUCUUUUACCCGGGAUGAUAAUGACAGUACCGGGAGAAUAAGCUCCGGCUAACUCCGUG
rnacentral:rRNA from 1 species